AGUCAAUCCCUCCACUCCCCUCGAGCCCCGCUCCCCUCCUCCCCUGCCCUCAUCUGCGCCGCCUCCUCCUCCCUUGCGUCCGCCUACUCCCCCCUGCAUCGCCGCCUCCUCCCCUUCUCCCCUGCUCACCACUAAGCCGCCUCCUCUGCCCCUUCACUUUUCUCUCCUGCGGCGGCGACGACCUGCAGGCAAAAGGCGACGCUGACGGUGCUCGAUUCGAUCUGCAGGAGAGAGAGAAGAUAAGAGGGAGAGAGAGAGAAGGAAGGAGAGGAGGGAGAACUCCGUUGCCGCCGCGUGCCGUGCUUCUGGAUCGACCGCUGCCUGACCAAGGGAUAAGAGUAUGAGCUGCUGAAGCAGGCGCGGCGCUGGUGCACUGCUGGCGAAGCGGUCGUCAACGGUGUCGUCGACGUCGUCCUUGGCAGAAGGUUGGUGCUUCCUCUCCUUCUCACUACAGCUACCUAUGCCUCUAUUAUUCUAGGAUUUUGCAAGUUAAAUACUCAUGUGUGCUGAACUGAAAAGUUCUCUAUGCAACAUCUAUUGCAGCUUCAUCGGCGUCAGCUUCAUCACCAAGAGGACGGACUCCGAAAGGCAACCUCCUCCCAAGGCGCCAGGACCGGUAACUCCCGGAACGUCCAUCCUUCCUUCCAUUAUUUUCUGGUGAUGCGCCGUUAGGGUUCGUGUUCAUUGCCAUUUUGGAUUCAUAUGUGAAGUCUAUUGUUGUUAAUUACAUUUAACUAAUUUCUUAAUUCAUGGUUGUUUUAGUUGCUGACCAUAUGAUUGGUAGCAUUGGACAGAAGAGGGCCAGCAACAAACAGAAGCAACCACUAUCCUCUCCAGAACAUGGAUCAGCUUUGGUGGCAUCCGAUGCUCGCAAGCCAUGGCGUUAGAGCAGAGGAAGCUGACAUGGUGUUGAAAUUCAGAUGGUCAUUGUGAUCGACCAGAUGCUGCGCCUCAUGUCACCCCGAGCCUCCAGGGCUUGUUAGCGGUGCAAGUGCUCGUUUCCCAUAUGCUUGCAAGUGCUCGUUUCCCAUAUGCUUGCCCACUCCUGUCUCGCAUCAAUCUUUCAUUUAUUUCCCUAAAAUUCCUCUAAUUUUGUUGUGUGCAUGUCUAAGAAAGAAAUAAGAGGAAUAAGCUAUGGUACGUCUUGGCGAAGUACAUUAUUUCCCUGGCUUGUGAAAUUAAUGCGCCCAAAUUCGCGUACAGUCUGGUUUCGGACUAACAAUGGCUCGUUGUGUUAUAUUGCAACUAAAAAAAGAGAUGGACAUAAUAAAGAAGCUUGGUGAACAAAUAUAUAUCUGAACCCUCUACACAAUAUAGAUGCUAUAAUUUUUGGUAAAUGGAAGUUAGAUCCAGAUUCUUAAAAAUAUUAUCCUUCAGUCUUAUACAUACAAGGUACUGUCCUGGCAUGGAUAUAGCCUGCAACCCGCAUCUCUAAACAACGCAAACCUAUCCACAAUCAUAAACUUGUGUAUUGAUCCUCUAUUCGGAUUUCUUAUUAGCUCAUUCUAGCCUGUAUGAACUUUUUGUGUUUGCGACAUUGGCCCAAUGCAUUUCGGUCGAUAUAUAUGUGAUGCCAUUGGUUGGCCUGGAUCGGAUAGCUAGGUUUGAUCGGUUCGGUUAAUAUAUGUUUAUGUUUUGGUUUAGGUUUCAGCACCUUUUGAUGCGUGUGCAUGCUGCCAUUGAGUAACUUGAUGUGUUUUCCUGGCUAUUCUAUUUGCAUUCACAAGUAUAGGAUAGUCAUUUUGAUUCAGUUAAGAUAUGUUCAGAUUUCUGUUUAGAUUUUGGCACCUUCUAAAUGUGCUACCAUGGGGUAGCCUGGGUCUAUUUUAAUGGCAAUAGGACCUGCAAGUGCAUGGCCCACUUCUAAUAGUCCUAGAAGCGACCGAAAUUGUUGCUAUUUUGACUUUGUCUGCUACAUGGACUGCUGUUCUGAUCUCUAUGUUUUCCCGUUGCUUCAUUCAGUAUGUCCACGUCAAACCAGAAAUGACAUGCAUUUGUAUGAUGAUAGCUUAGCACUCGAUGAUAAAUGUGAUGUUGUUUUAUGUUAAUGUGAAACCCGAUCUAUCGGUUGUUAGUUUGAAUCAGUACCCAAGCCAUCCUCCUCACUGCCCUCCUCUUAGAUAUUUAGGUAGUUCUUCCUUCUUGGUAACAAUGAGAAAACAAUUAGGUUGGUUACACAGUAUACUUCAUGAUUGCAGUAGGCACAAAAUGCUUGGCAGACUAAAAUAACUCAUUUCUAUUAUCAAGCUCUAAGUGUAUAUUGAGAUGCCUUUGUACAAUGAAAGAUCCAUGGGGUUGUAGGUUUGUUUGCUUGUAGAUUUUCGUGCAGAUAUUUGAAUUGUGCAAAUAUUUAAUUUGAGUUAUAAUUUGUUGUCUCUCGAUGUCGCUAAUUUUGUAUGAGCUGUAGGUGACCAUCAUCAUGUUCUUUCUAUGUUUUAUAGACAAUGUUUUCUUUCUAAUAUUUAGUUUUAUUCCAAGAUUAAUGAUGCUUUCACUCUAUUUUCAGAUUGACAAUUUCCGCCGACCCUUGUUGCACUCAAUGAUGGUUGAUGCCAACGUGGUCCAUUAGCAUCCUGGUUGUGGUUCUUAGUCCUGGUUUGAAGAGCUGCUCUGUUUGUUUGUGCUGGCAACAUCUAUGCGGUCAAGCUCAGGCCUCCAAAGAACAUCUCUGCAAACUCAAGAUUUUUUGUCAUUGUUCAAUUCCAGACCGAGGCACAUGCUUCGCUGGUGUUGAAUGCGGCCUAAGGGAAUGCACUUACGAGUGCAAGUACUUAUCUGAAGAUUCAAUAUGCAGAGCGUGACAUUGUUCCGAGACCAAGAACGAUGAUGUUUAAUCUACAGGGUGCAACACUGCAUUUUGGCUGCCUUAUGAGGGAAAGAGUUCUAUCUAUUCUGUGGAGCGGAAGGGAUGUUUCUGUUGAGUUUGGAUUUGCCAAGACGGAGGCCACCGCCACUCUCGACGCCCUCUGUUGCACGCUCUCGCCGGCGGCGUUCGCAAAGCCUUGUCGUGGCGCUGCAAGUGUUGCCCCCCUCCUCCCCAAGGGCAAGGUGAAGGAAGGUGCCUGUGUGGUUCUUCUGCAGCUCGCAGCGAGGAUUGCUGUGUCCAACCUGCACAAGAAUGCCAAGAAGUCCUUCUCGGAGAUGUAAACCACGGCGCAUGUUUCUGCCAUGAUUUCCUUCGGCUGGAUUUCAUGGAUUUAGGUGUUGAAAAAUUAUGGGCUCUCGAUGCAGGAUUAAGGACAUGUACCUGCACUACAACGAGAGAUCUGGGCUAUAUCUUUGUGGCUUCCAAACUUGAAAUGUUUGCUUGGAAGUUAGUUUAGUUUUCUGUUGUGGAUUCACAGCUUCUCACAUGUAAAUCCUUUUAAGUGUUGUGAUCCAUUGUCUAGAUUUUUUUCCUUGGUAAGGUUCAAACUUUAUACUUCGUGUACAUCGCGGGGACGGUUGAGAGGCUACUAUUGCU